rnacentral:rRNA from 1 species
GACGAACGCUGGCGGCGUGCCUAAUACAUGCAAGUCGAACGCACUCUCGUUUAGAUCGACGGAGUUUGCUCCUGAUUGAUAAACAUUUGAGUGAGUGGCGGACGGGUGAGUAACACGUGGGUAACCUGCCCUAAAGUGGGGGAUAACAUUUGGAAACAGAUGCUAAUACCGCAUAAAACCUAACACCGCAUGGUGUAGGGUUGAAAGAUGGUUUCGGCUAUCACUUUAGGAUGGACCCGCGGUGCAUUAGUUAGUUGGUGAGGUAAAGGCUCACCAAGACCGUGAUGCAUAGCCGACCUGAGAGGGUAAUCGGCCACACUGGGACUGAGACACGGCCCAGACUCCUACGGGAGGCAGCAGUAGGGAAUCUUCCACAAUGGACGAAAAUCUGAUGGAGCAACGCCGCGUGAGUGAAGAAGGUUUUCGGAUCGUAAAACUCUGUUGUUGGAGAAGAAUGUAUCUGAUAGUAACUGAUCAGGUAGUGACGGUAUCCAACCAGAAAGCCACGGCUAACUACGUG